GGACACUUUGAACUCAACCUCAUCGAUCAACCUUUAAACUCAAAUACUAGUCCUUAACUCAAUACAUGCUUCUACUUCACUUUUUCCAUCGACCUCAACCUGUAAUCUGUCGCUGUUGGUAAACAGGAAAUACUUCACAUCUUACACGCACUCUCCCUAAGAAACCCAGUGAUGUGGAAGUCUUGUUAGGUGAUGUCCAGUUAUCAGUUUCAGGCAGUGCCGGGUUCAAAGGAUGCGACUCAAACCCCAAGAAG